UACGUAGGCAGCAAGCGUUGUUCGGAGUUACUGGGCGUAAAGGGUGUGUAGGCGGUUUUUUAAGUUUGGUGUGAAAUCUCCCGGCUCAACUGGGAGGGUGCGCCGAAUACUGAAAGACUAGAGUGCGGGAGAGGAAAGUGGAAUUCCUGGUGUAGCGGUGAAAUGCGUAGAUAUCAGGAAGAACACCCGUGGCUAAGGCGGCUCUCUAGUACGUGACUGACGCUGAGACGCGAAAGCGUGGGGAGCAAACAGG
rnacentral:rRNA from 1 species